AUAAUCUCACACCUCGCCGAUUGUUGUGACCUUUGGAAAUUUUGAACCAAGAAGAGAAAAGUUGUGGCUGUUGAGUCUCUAAAGGCCUGAUUCCACGAGCGCUUUUUCUUGGCGAAAUGCGAAUUAUUUCGCCUGUUUCUUUUGAAUUGCGACCACUUGAAUAAAUUAUUUCUACUUGAUUGCUCACAAUUCGAAAGAAACAGGCGAAAUAUUUCGCAUUUCGCCGAGAAAAAGCGCCCGAGGAAUCAGGCCGUUACUGAUCAUGAAUACUGAGCACGCGUUUGAAAUAUGUAUAUAUGCAUGAUCAUCAGGAAGAGCUUACUCGUAGAGUUAUCAUGCCUUCAGCAAACAAAUGCUCAAUUCGAAUUAAUGACAACCUAGUGUACGCGUUCCUUUCAUGGCACUUCAAGAAUAUUUUGAAAGCUGAGGUUAGCGAUCACCAUGGGAAAACGCGUAUCAAGGUAAAACUCUCUAUGAUUACAUCUGUUAAACCAUUUAUCUUACUAAUAGGGGCACCGCAUAACAACGCGUACGGGCCGAUAGACCGCUCAAUUGUUUGUGUUGGCUUAUUUGCGCACAAUUUAGUAUAGGAGUUUCAAAUCAGAAACAGAAUUGGGCUUGACUUUAUUAUUUG